GAAAGAGAGAAGACCUGGUCCAUUUUCGGUGGUCGCUCGUCUUCGCUUGUCGCUCGUCGGCUGUUAUCUAAGGUACGACUUCACUGCUUCAUUCUUCAUUUUUCUUCUUCGUUCUUCUUCUUCUGCGAUCUUCUUCUUCUCCAAUCUUCUCUCUGUCUCAGUCGCCGUCUCUCUGUCUCUCUCGCAGUCACUCUUAUCCUCUGCAUUGAACCUUUGUUUUGUUUUGUUUUUUCUUUCUUUUCUUUUUUUUCUUUCUUUUAUAUGGUCUAUGUGGGAGUGUACAUCUGUCUGAAUGUCUCUCUCUUGUAUUUUUAUUUUUUUUCUAAUUUCAUUUUAUUUUUCUUUUCUCUUUGUGCCUCUGUUAUUUGAGUGUAUAACUUUUUUUUGUGUUAUUUAUGAAUGAUAUAUAUGAUGUUAAAUCAAUUAAAUGUUUAUUUUUUUAUAAUUUUAAUAGUGUUAUUUUGUAUUUUUUUAUUACCUUCCAAUGAUUUUUUUAUAAUUUUAUGACAUAAUAAAUAAAAUUAAUUAUAUAUAUUGAACGUGUCUUCCAUUUUUUGAAAAUUUGCGUGUCCGUGUGUCGUGUGUCUGUCUCGUGUCACGUGUCUGUGUCCGUACUACAUAGGUCUAGAUAGGUUUCGGAAGUUAAAGUUUCAGUCGUUUUUAUUUUUAGUUCUAGUUUGUUUAGGAAGUCUUCUAGUUUUAUAUAAAGUCAUGUAAUACUUUUGAUUCAAUAGAGUUUAUAUUUUAGAGAAUUUUAAGAACUUUAAAGCUUUCUUAUGGAUUUUGAGAUGCAAUCAAACCUUGAGAGUGAUGCAUAAGGCCUUAAGGAGUAAUUCCUAGAAACUAUCUUCUUCUUCUCCUUCUUCUCUUAUUUAUUUUCUGCACUUUGACAGACCAAAUACUGCUCAUGGGUACUGUUCACAGACCAUAAAACAGCCCCCAAACAGUCACAAAAUCUCAUCUUUUAGGAUGCUUAAACUCUUACCCAUUUAUUACCAAAAACAAACCUUACUUCUCCUCUAUAUUCUUAUUGCAAUUUCAGCCAUAACACCUGAUUAAAAUCAGCCCCAAAGCUCACUGUUGUUGCUAUCCCUACUUGUCCUACAUCUAAACUGGUAAAUUACACUUUGCCCCCUGAAGUUCAAAUGCUUACCCUAUAAGGUUUUUCUUUUUGCACUUUGGCCCUUCACGUUUCAAAAUUUUCACAAUUUAUUCCUGAGGCUACCUUCUGUCCAAAUUUAGACAGAAAUUGUCUCGUGGCACCACAUAUACAAAAGUUAGAUACAAAACAUCAAACCCAAAACCCCACACCACCCCACCCAACCUUCCAAACCCACAACUCCUCACUAAAUAGCCUCCCACCAUCUCCCCGUUUGCGUCUGAACCCCCCACCACCCAACCUCUAUCUCUCCCUUCUGUCCACAACCUCCUACAACAUUAAAAUCAAGGCUAACACCACCAGAUCUACAGCCAUAGCAAUCACCAUGAACACCACACACUGCCCUAAACUCCAUCCUCCUCUCUGCUUCAAACUUGCAGUGACGAACAGCAAUAUCGGCGGCAAACUCUGAGAUCGAGACCUACAGCUCUCUCCUCCUCUCUGUCUCAAACUUGCAGUGACGAACAGCGAGAUCGGCGACAAAGUCUGAGAUCGAGACCUGCAACCACAGCUCUCUUGUUAAAUGUGAUUUUGAGCUUUUUGUGAUCUGGGGUUACUAGAAAUAUAGGUUGGAGGCAAUGGAGUGGCAUCGUGGUUGGGCAAGAUGGAGUGGCAAAAAAGAUGGAAGGAGGGUAGAAAUUAGGGGCAGUGGAGGGAGUUGUGGAGAUUGGGGGAGGAGAUGAAGACUGGGGCAAGAAGAUUUAGAGGAAAAUGGUGGAAGUUGGGGCGGUGGAGGAGGACAAGGGGAGGGGCUGGAGGCUGAAGAACACAGAGAGAGAGAGAGAGAGAGAUAUGGCAAAUGACAUUAUGGGAGGUGGAGUAAGGAAUGGUGGCGGUGGAAGCAAGGGUGGUUGGGGGGCCAUUUGGAGAUCAAGUCAGGGUGAUGGAGGUGGGUGGUGGAGGUAGAGAGUUUGGGCUGGGGUUCGGUUUGCAGUACUCAGAGAGAGAGAGAGAAAGAGAGAGGUUAACAGUAUGAACAAAAAAUUCGACUUCCUCAAAAUAA